CCUACGGGGGGCAGCAGGGACGAAUCUUCUGCAAUGUACGAAAGUAUGACAGAUUGAGUCAGAGUGCUUUUCAUAUGAAAAGCUUUUGCCAAAUGUAAAAAGUUUGGCGAAUAAGGACUGGGUAAGACGGGUGCCAGCCGCCGCGGUAAUACCCGCGGUCCAAGUCGCAGCCAUCAUUAUUGGGUCUAAAACAUCCGUAGCUUGCUUAGUAAGUUUCUUGUGAAAUUCCAUGUCUUAAAUAUGGAGCGGGCAAGAAGUACUGUUAAGCUAGAGACUGGAAGACGUAAGAAGUACGUUUGGAGUAGCGGUAAAAUGUGUUAAUCCCAGACGGACUAACAACAGCGAAGGCAUCUUACGAGGACAGUUCUGACAGUAAGGGAUGAAGGCUAGGGGCGCAAAAGGGAUUAGAUACCCUAGUAGUCC
rnacentral:rRNA from 1 species